rnacentral:tRNA from 1 species
GCGGAAGUGGCGAAAUUGGCAGACGCACCGGACUUAGGAUCUGGCGCCGCAAGGCGUGGAGGUUCAAGUCCUCUCUUCCGCACCA